rnacentral:rRNA from 1 species
CAGCACCUCAAGUGGUCAGGAUGAUUAUUGGGCCUAAAGCAUCCGUAGCCGGCGCUGUAAGUUUUCGGUUAAAUCUGUACGCUCAACGUACAGGCUGCCGGGAAUACUGCAGCGCUAGGGAGUGGGAGAGGUUGACGGUACUCGGUAGGAAGGGGUAAAAUCCUUUGAUCUAUUGAUGACCACCUGUGGCGAAGGCGGUCUACCAGAACACGUCCGACGGUGAGGGAUGAAAGCUGGGGGAGCAAACCGGAUUAGAUACCCGAGUAGUCC